rnacentral:rRNA from 1 species
GGAAUUGUUCGCAAUGGGCGCAAGCCUGACGACGCAACGCCGCGUGGAGGAUGAAGACUUUCGGGUCGUAACCUCCUGUCGACCGGGAUGAAUUCCCAUCGACCCAACACGUCGAUGGGGUGACAGUAACGGGAGAAGAAGCCCCGGCUAACUCCGUGCCACCAGCCGCGGUAAGACGGGGGGGGCAAGCGUUGUUCGGAAUUACUGGGCGUAAAGGGUUCGUAGGUGGCCCGCUAAGUCAGACGUGAAAUCCCUCAGCUCAACUGGGGAACUGCGUCUGAGACUGGCGGGCUUGAGUGCAGGAGAGGAACGCGGAAUUCCAGGUGUAGCGGUGAAAUGCGUAGAUAUCUGGAGGAACACCGGUGGCGAAGGCGGCGUUCUGGACUGCUACUGACACUGAGGAACGAAAGCCAGGGGAGCGAAC